rnacentral:rRNA from 1 species
CUCAGGACGAACGCUGGCGGCGUGCCUAAUACAUGCAAGUAGAACGCUGAGGACUGGUGCUUGCACUGGUCUAAGGAGUUGCGAACGGGUGAGUAACGCGUAGGUAACCUACCUCAUAGCGGGGGAUAACUAUUGGAAACGAUAGCUAAUACCGCAUGACAAUAGGGUACACAUGUACCCUAUUUAAAAGGGGCAAAUGCUUCACUAUGAGAUGGACCUGCGUUGUAUUAGCUAGUUGGUAAGGUAACGGCUUACCAAGGCGACGAUACAUAGCCGACCUGAGAGGGUGAUCGGCCACACUGGGACUGAGACACGGCCCAGACUCCUACGGGAGGC